rnacentral:tRNA from 1 species
GCCGGGAUGGCGGAAUUGUUAGACGCACGGGACUUAAAAUCCUGUGGGCGUAAGUCCGUGCGGGUUCGAUUCCCGCUCUCGGCACCA